AUCCGAUCAUACCAACACUAACGCAUCAGAUCCCAUCAGAACUCCGAAGUUGAGCGUGUUUGGUGGAGAGUAGUACUAAAAAGUGAGAGAAGACCUAACACUACGGGUC
rfam:Nicotiana attenuata strain TT chromosome 2, whole genome shotgun sequence.